GAGAAAUACGCCUGGGUGAUCUUAACAGUGAUCCCAGUGCAGUAUAUCAACCACCUGUUUACCUUUACCUGUUGCUUCCGUGGAAUCACGGGUGCCCUUCCUGCCUGCAGGCAUGGGUUACCUUCCACGGGUGUAUUUCAAAAAUCGUUUUAGUAUGUUUUGUCUGAUCAAAUUUUUAAUUAAAGUUA
rnacentral:misc_RNA from 1 species